AGCUUUGCACAGUGGCAGUGUUGUAGUUAUCCAAGGCGGGAUUAUUGCUAAUUGAAAGCUUUUCCCAAUACCCUGCCAUGACGACUUGCAAUAUAGUUGGCAUUGAAUUGGCAAUUUUUUACAGUCUCUAUGGAGA
rnacentral:snRNA from 1 species